AACGGGACGCCAUAGAGGGUGAGAGCCCCGUCUGGUUGGAUGCCAAAUCUCUGUAAAACUCCUUCAACGAGUCGAGUAGUUUGGGAAAUGCUGCUCUAAAUGGGAGGUAUAUGUCUUCUAAAAGCUAAAUACCGGCCCAGAGACCGAUAGCGCACAAGUAGAGUGAUCGAAAGAUGAAAAGCACUUUGAAAAGAGAGUUAAAAAGUACGUGAAAUUGUUGAAAGGGAAGCGUUUAUGACCAGACUUGGACUUGGUUAAUCAUCUGGGGUUCUCCCCAGUGCACUUUUCCAGUUCAGGCCAGCAUCAGUUUUCGCCGGGGGAUAAAGGCUUCGGGAAUGUGGCUCUCUUCGGGGAGUGUUAUAGCCCGUUGUGUAAUACCCUGGCGGGGACUGAGGUUCGCGCAUCUGCAAGGAUGCUGGCGUAAUGGUCAUCAACGACCCGUCUUGAAACACGGACCAAGGAGUCGUCUUCGUAUGCGAGUGUUCGGGUGUCAAACCCCUACGCGUAAUGAAAGUGAACGCAGGUGAGAGCUUCGGCGCAUCAUCGACCGAUCCUGAUGUUCUCGGAUGGAUUUGAGUAAGAGCAUACGGGGCCGGACCCGAAAGAAGGUGAACUAUGCCUGUAUAGGGUGAAGCCAGAGGAAACUCUGGUGGAGGCUCGCAGCGGUUCUGACGUGCAAAUCGAUCGUCAAAUAUGGGCAUGGGGGCGAAAGACUAAUCGAACCUUCUAGUAGCUGGUUUCCGCCGAAGUUUCCCUCAGGAUAGCAGUGUUGAACUCAGUUUUAUGAGGUAAAGCGAAUGAUUAGGGACUCGGGGGCGCUAUUUAGCCUUCAUCCAUUCUCAAACUUUAAAUAUGUAAGAAGCUCUUGUUGCUUAAUUGAACGUGAGCAUUCGAAUGUAUCAACACUAGUGGGCCAUUUUUGGUAAGCAGAACUGGCGAUGCGGGAUGAACCGAACGCGAGGUUAAGGUGCCAGAGUAGACGCUCAUCAGACACCACAAAAGGUGUUAGUACAUCUUGACAGCAGGACGGUGGCCAUGGAAGUCGGAAUCCGCUAAGGACUGUGUAACAACUCACCUGCCGAAUGUACUAGCCCUGAAAAUGGAUGGCGCUCAAGCGUCUCACCCAUACCUCGCCCUCAGGGUAGAAACGAAGCCC
rnacentral:rRNA from 1 species